UGUAAAAAACCAUAAAUAUAAAUAGACAUGAAAAUAAAUAAAGACGAAAUAAGAAAAAAUAAAAAUUAUACAAGUGCGAAUAAAUAUAAAACAUAAAGAUAAAGUGCAUAAUUAACAUUAAAUAUAUAAGGUAUAAAUGCAAAUGAAAGGAAAGAUAUAAGUGUAAAUAAUUUAUUAAAAAUGGAAGCAAAAUGACAGCUUAAUUUUGGGACUAAAAGAUAAAAAAUGUGGAAGACAGAGGACUGAUGUAGUAAUUAAUUUGUUUUUAAUUUUAAAAUUUCAGAUUAAGCCAAAGGUUUGAAUAAACAAAAGGGCUGCGGGUGUAAAUAGGCUAGAGAGUGAGGGCGGUGUUGCAAAAAAUGGGGUAUUUUUUGUAAAUUUAAAAAGUAAGGGGAUGGGAAUAUAUUACCCAUUUUUGGCACCUAUAAAAGGGAAAAACUAUUCAUUCUUUUUCCUUUUUAAUCUCAUUUAAAAAAACAAAAUCUUCCUCCUUAUUUUCCUCUUAUGUUGGCCAUGGCUCCUGUAACGCCCCAAAAUUUUAAUUUUGGGUAUUGUGAAUGUGUGACACAAAAUAUCUAUCUACUUUAGUGGUUAUGUGUUUUGGGUGUAUUUGGGAGGUCCCAAGUUCAAGUCAGGACUCGGUCAAAUUUUGGUAUCUUUAGUUAGUAGGACUUGCUGGUUUGGUGGAUAAGUGAAAUGUUGGUGUGAAGAAGUUCCUGUGUUCGAAUCUUGGCGUGGGCAUUAUUUUUGCUCAUGCGUCCAGGAGAGUUUGAGAUGGACUAAAAAUCUGAGUAGUGGAUUUAGUGAAGAGUUUGAUGGAGAGAAAUAAUGGAUUGGGGUGGUUAUCAAAUAUUUUGUUCAUCUUUUUUUUACUUUUCCCAAAAUCCCUCCACCCUCUUGCCGUUUUUCUCUUUAUUGCUGCUGAAUUUCAGCUCUCUUUCACCCUUCAUCUUCUUGAUUUUUCUUUUCCCACUCUGCCUCGUGUCGCUCCAUGUUUGUCUGGGAUUGUUCGGUAAGUUUUAGAUAGGUGAUUUGUCUUCGUUUGUUCAUUUUCUUCUAAAGUGUUUUGUUUAUGCCAAUUAGGGGAGGAUUCAAGGGCUUGUAAUCACCAAUCGGAGUCUUAGUUUGUGUGGGAAUUAUUGUUCAUCGGUUGAAGGCUCUAGAGUGCUCGGGGACUGUUUUAGCAUCAAUAAAAACCAGGUAAUCUCCAGAUUUAGACGAAUCGGUGCGGCGGAAGACUCGGUAGUGAUCGCGAUUUUGGACUUUCAUGGUUUUUAACCCAUAUUUACGAUAAUUGGUUUUAUUUCUAUUAUAUUUUUACUGGCUAAGUUUUUGGGUUGUAAUUGGACUUUUGGAACUUGGUUUUGGGUUUUAAUUAUCUUAAUCUUAUGGAUUACAA